GCCAGGUGCAGUGGUGCCCGCCUGUAAUCCCAGGGGCUCAGGAGGUUGAGGCAGGAGGAUCAUGAGUUCAAAGCCAGCGUCAGCAAAAGCAAGGCACUAAGCAAUUCAGUGAGAUCCUGUCUCUA
rnacentral:sRNA from 1 species